GUAAAUAUAGUUUAAAAAAAACAUUAGAUUGUGAAUCUAACAAUAGAAGUCACCACCUUCUUAUUUACC
rnacentral:tRNA from 1 species